rnacentral:rRNA from 1 species
CCUACGGGAGGCAGCAGUGAGGAAUAUUGGUCAAUGGACGAGAGUCUGAACCAGCCAAGUAGCGUGAAGGAUGACUGCCCAAAGGGUUGUAAACUUCUUUUAUAUGGGAAUAAAGUGUUCCACGCGUGGGAUUUUGUAUGUACCAUAUGAAUAAGGAUCGGCUAACUCCGUGCCAGCAGCCGCGGUAAUACGGAGGAUCCGAGCGUUAUCCGGAUUUCUUGGGUUUAAAGGGAGCGUAGGUGGAUUGUUAAGGCAGUUGUGAAAGUUUGCGGCUCAACCGUAAAAUUGCAGUUGAAACUGGCAGUCUUGAGUACAGGAGAGGUAGGCGGAAU